rnacentral:tmRNA from 1 species
GGGGACGACUGGUUUUGACAGCAAGGACAGUGGAUUAGUAAGCAUACCAAGGCAUGAAAUAAUACUUGUAAAACUGAUUUCAACUUUUUAAACGGCGAAGAUAACUACGCUUUAGCUGCAUAAUCCGAAUUAUAGUAGGAUUAGCCUAGUCCCGCAAGGCGGGAAAGCUUUAUGUCCACGAAAAGCCCUGAUUUACGGCGUUUCACUUUUGGGCAUCGUAAAAGUAAAUAUAGAAAACCUGGAACUUUGACGGGUUUUUGAAACUAAAGAAGGUAAGCUAAAAAUGGAUUGUUCUUAAUCAGCUUUU